ensembl:snoRNA
GUACCAUCAAAAAGCCCUGAUUUUUUGUACUAGGAUGUAAAAGAAAACAAUCCCUGUACCUUCUGUCUCUCUUGGUGGUGGCCCAGAUUGAAUUGGGGAAUACAUCU